rnacentral:misc_RNA from 1 species
GAUGAAGAACGCAGCAAAAUGCGAUACUUGGUGUGAAUUGCAGAAUCCCGUGAACCAUCGAGUUUUUGAACGCAAGUUGCGCCCGAAGCCUUUUGGCCGAGGGCACGUCUGCGUGGGCGUCACGCAUCGCGUCGCCCCCCACAAUUCUCCGUAAAGGGAACAUGUGUUUUGGGGGCGGAUAUUGGUCUCCCGUGCUCAUGGCGUGGUUGGCCGAAAUAGGAGUCCUUUCGAUGGACGCACGAACUAGUGGUGGUCGUAAAAACCCUCGUCUUUUGUUUCGUGCUGUUGCUCGCAAGGUAAACUCUUUAAAAACCCCAAUGUGUCGUCUCUUGACGACGCUUCGACCGCGACCCCAGGUCAGGCGGGACUACCCGCUGAGUUUAAGCAUAUCAAUAAGCGGAGGA